UGGGGAAUUUUGCGCAAUGGGGGAAACCCUGACGCAGCAACGCCGCGUGCGGGAUGAAGGCCUUCGGGUUGUAAACCGCUUUCAGUAGGGAAGAUAGUGACGGUACCUACACAAGAAGCUCCGGCUAAAUACGUGCCAGCAGCCGCGGUAAUACGUAUGGAGCAAGCGUUAUCCGGAUUCAUUGGGCGUAAAGCGCGCGUAGGCGGAUUGUUAAGUCGGGUCUGUUAAAUCCCAGAGCUCAACUCUGGGCCGCAGUCGAUACUGGCAGUCUUGAGUACGGUAGAGGAAAGUGGAAUUCCCGGUGUAGCGGUGGAAUGCGCAGAUAUCGGGAAGAACACCGGUGGCGAAGGCGGCUUUCUGGGCCGUUACUGACGCUGAGGCGCGAAAGCUAGGGGAGCGGACAGGAUUAGAUACCCUGGUAGUCCUAGCCGUAAACGAUGGACACUAGGUGUGGGGACAUGUAUGUUUCCGUGCCGCAGCUAACGCAUUAAGUGUCCCGCCUGGGGAGUACGGUCGCAAGACUA
rnacentral:rRNA from 1 species